rnacentral:rRNA from 1 species
GAUGAACGCUGGCGGCGUGCCUAAUACAUGCAAGUCGAGCGAACAGAUAAGGAGCUUGCUCCUUUGACGUUAGCGGCGGACGGGUGAGUAACACGUGGGUAACCUACCUAUAAGACUGGGAUAAAUUCGGGAAACCGGAGCUAAUACCGGAUAACAUUUGGAACCGCAUGGUUCUAAAGUGAAAGAUGGUUUUGCUAUCACUUCUAGAUGGACCCGCGCCGUAUUAGCUAGUUGGUAAGGUAACGGCUUACCAAGGCAACGAUACGUAGCCGACCUGAGAGCGUGAUCGGCCACACUGGAACUGAUACACGGUGCAGACUCCUACGGGAGGCAUCAGUAGGGAAUCUUCCGCAAUGGGCGAGAGCCUGACGGAGCAACGCCGCGUGAGUGAUGAAGGGGUUCGGCUCGUAAAACUCUGUUAUUAGGGAAGAACAAACGUGUAAGUAACUGUGCACGUCUUGACGGUACCUAAUCAGAAAGCCACGGCUAACUACGUG